rnacentral:lncRNA from 1 species
ACAAAGUGCGUGUUCCUCAGCCAAUACAUGCGCACACUCUGUCAUGCUGAACCUCUCUCCACCACCUCCAACCUUUUCCUGGUGGAGGUGACUUUUGCCUCUCUGUACUCUCCUGACCUCCAGUUGGUGGGCAGGGGCUGAUGGGUAACAGUAAUGAAGCUUUGUUCUCCUCAUCUUUCACCACCUGCCCUCACCCCAGUGUAUUUUGCAACUACCGCAAGAGGACAACACAGCCAGUGACCUUGAAUGAGAAUGUUAAGCCUUCAUUUCUAUCUCAGCUGGAAAGAAGACAGUAAACCAAACUUUUCUUUAGGGACGGGAUACUAAAGUACAAGGCACUGAUUUUAUGUGUCUUCAGAAAGUCCUCUUCUGGUCCAAUGGUGAAUUAGGUUGGAUUUUAGGCUAAUUGGCACAACAUGCCUUACUUCUUGACUUCCAGAUUUAUGUGAAAGCAAUUUACAGGGCUAGCAGCCAAGUCUUCACUGGCAAAGUGAUUCAGAAGAGUACUGCAAUUAUGCAAAUGAUGAAGAAAAGAGGAAAAAAGAGCUACACAAGAUCUGUUUGCCUGAUUUGGGAAGGGCAGUUGUGCCCCUUUUCCUGUUUUCUCUUUGGCUGUGCUCUCAAAGACCGGUCUACCUGUACGGGCUGGAUACUGAAGGACAAUGUUGGAGGCCCAAGGGGUUUAGGGUUUCAGUAUGACCUUUCAGAAGAUCACGAAGCAGAUUAGAAGCUUUUCCAGGAAAGCACGGAUUUAACCUGGUAUUUAGCAGCUAACAUAUGGCAAGGUUGGACGGGAAAAACCUAUAAAAACGACAUUUAAAACAUUGGUUGGCAACUUGGGACUUUGAGAGCAGAGGAGAAAGUUCAGUGUGUGUACCAAGUGUGGCUGAUCCAAAGAGGAUGGCAGCAAGCACGGCCUGGCUUUCACAUUAUACUGAAAAGAAUCGUAGCAUUAGACCAAACCAGCGGGACCAAGACAAACGAGAGGGCCAAGUCCCUUGAAAGCUAUUAAAGAUGAGAGUCAUGAACAAGCAAGCUCCUUUCAAUAGUGACUUGUGUUGUUUCCCCGGCCUAGUAGCCUGGCUUUCUGGUGACAGAGUGCUGAAGGCCGCACAGAAAAAGGACUGAGGCUGCUGGCUCGGGCUUGGAACCCCACACAAAGCCAGGCCUGCUGAGCGCGUCACGUGAGGUGGUGGUCCCCAGUGACAGUGCGACACGUGCGUGUCUCCUGGGAAUGUCAAGGCACUGGUUACAUUUCCCAGCCUCUGCGUGGGAGGAAAGGACAGAGACAGGCCUCAGCACUUUGAAACCUCAAACCUCCUGAGCUGUUUACUUGACUUCAAGUGGCUGUGAAAAGGAGGCACCCUGUGCAAACGCCUGCAGGGGCGCCAUCCUGGGCACAGAGAAGAGCUGGCGGUGGCGGGGCCCGAAGGCGGAGUCCUCCCGCAGAUGACCGACCAACAAGCCUACUCUGUGGGUCUCAUGUGUAAUGACAUGGCAGGUCCCGUGGAGACAGUGUUUUGAUGCAGGGUAGGAAAUCAGAUAAGGAGUCUGAGGUUCAGACACGGCGGCAAAUUAUUCAUCAAAAUAUCCUACAAGUCAUACCCCGGUGGGAUUUCUGCCUAGCAGUCAUUAAUUGGAAAUGAACUAGUAUUUAACACGAAGUGUUUCUAAAAGGGUUAUAACAAUAUCGCCCUGUGGACAGUAUAAAACAGAAGCAAAAUGCACAGAACAUAAAGGUUGCCCUUAAUUCAACCAUUAGCGCUAAAGGCAAUAGUGAGGGUGAUUGCAUAUACCAUGUUUAUUUCAAGUGCUUUGUUGACAGUGACCAAUAAAAGGCCAACAUGGGUGAGAAUCACAUUAGUUUUCCAGAUGUACUCUCACAAGUAUGGAUUUGGAACAGCCAUUUGAGAGAUUAAAGCUCAGUGUUUUCCUCAAUCUGUAGAUUAGCAAAAACCUACAGUUCAGCAUCAGGGUUAAGAGAGAAAGGAGUUAAUUUACAUGGCUAUUCAAGUGCCUCCCACUUCCAAGAUGCCUUGAGGCCAAGGAUUAAUCUGUACCUUUCAUAAGGACUUAUUUCUUGUCAUUUUAAAUCUUAUUUUUCCUUUUGCAUCUUUGUACUUCCUUUUCACUGGCCUGAAUUCCCUAGCACUUCACAUCUAAAGUGAGAAUAAAAUCACUGUUUUGCAGUACUUCUAAUACAUUGGCCGUCUCUUACCUACAACUAACCAGCACUUACUAUGUGCUUAUUAAACUCAGCACCACAAACAUAACAUGAAAUCGCCUCCCUUACUGCCUUUAGUUACUACUAAUGGUUAAUGUGCCAAGUGUUUAAUACUCUAUUUCACACAACUCUGAGGUUUGGUGCUAUUAUUAUUAUCCCACUUUAGAGAUGAGGAAACUGAGGCAAGAAGUGUUAAGGCCAUAAAGUUAAUAAGGGGU